UUACGGUCAUAAUACAUUGAAACACCGGUUCCCGUACAAUCACCGAAGCUAAGCAACGUCGAGUUUGGUCAGUGCCCAGAUGGGUGACCGCUUAGGAAUACCAGGAGCUGUAAG